AAAUUGACGGGGGCCCGCACAAGCAGUGGAGUAUGUGGUUUAAUUCGAAGCAACGCGAAGAACCUUUACCAGGGCUUGACAUCCCUUGAAGCAGCUAGAGAUAGCUGUGUCCUUCGGGACAAGGAGACAGGUGGUGCAUGGUUGUCGUCAGCUCGUGUCGUGAGAUGUUGGGUUAAGUCCCGCAACGAGCGCAACCCCUGUGGUUAGUUGCCAGCAAGUAGCGUUGGGCACUCUAGCCAGACUGCCGGUGAUAAAUCGGAGGAAGGUGGGGACGACGUCAAAUCAUCAUGCCCUUUAUGUCCUGGGCUACACACGUACUACAAUGGCCGUUACAACGGGAAGCGAAGGAGCAAUCCGGAGCAAAUCCCUUAAAGGCGGUCCCAGUUCAGAUUGUGGGCUGAAACUCGCCCACAUGAAGGCGGAAUUGCUAGUAAUUGCAGAUCAGCAUGCUGCAGUGAAUACGUUCCCGGGCCUU
rnacentral:rRNA from 1 species